rnacentral:rRNA from 1 species
UACGGAGGGUGCAAGCGUUAUCCGGAUUCACUGGGUUUAAAGGGUGCGUAGGUGGGUUGGUAAGUCAGUGGUGAAAUCCCCGAGCUUAACUUGGGAACUGCCAUUGAUACUAUCAGUCUUGAAUAUUGUGGAGGUUAGCGGAAUAUGUCGUGUAGCGGUGAAAUGCUUAGAUAUGACAUAGAACACCAAUUGCGAAGGCAGCUGGCUACGCAUAUAUUGACACUGAGGCACGAAAGCGUGGGGAUCAAACAGG